rnacentral:rRNA from 1 species
CCUACGGGGGGCAGCAGUGGGGAAUAUUGCGCAAUGGAGGAAACCCUGAUGCAGCGACGCCGCGUGAGUGAAGAAGUAAUUCGGUAUGUAAAGCUCUGUCAGCAGGGAAGAAAAUGACGGUACCUGAGUAAGAAGCACCGGCUAACUACGUGCCAGCAGCCGCGGUAAUACGGAGGGGGCAAGCGUUAUCCGGAUUUACUGGGUGUAAAGGGGGCGUAGUCGGUAGUGCAAGUCUGGAGUGAAAGCCGGGGGCUCAACCCCGGGACUGCCCUGGAAACUGUACGGCUGGAGUGCAGGAGAGGUAAGUGGAAUUUCUGGUGUAGCGGUGAAAUGCGUAGAGAUUAGGAGGAACACCAGUGGCGAAGGCGGCUUACUGGACUGUAACUGACGUUGAGGCUCGAAAGCGUGGGGAGCAAACAGGAUUAGAUACCCCUGUAGUC